AUUGAACGCUAGCGGGAUGCCUUACACAUGCAAGUCGAACGGAGUGGCGAAAGGGUGAGUAAUGUAACGGAACGUGCCCAGUGGCGGGGGAUAACUACGCGAAAGCGUAGCUAAAAACGCAUACGAAUGGAGCGGACGAUAGCGGCUGAGCUGGUUGGUGGGGUAACGGCUCACACAGGCGACGAUCCGUAGCUGGUUUGAGAGGAGGACCAGCCACACUGGGACUGAGCAACGGCCCAGACUCCUCCGGGAGGCAGAAGUGGGGAAUUUUUGACAAUGGGGGAAACCCUGAUCCAGCCAUCCCGCGUGUGCGAUGAAGGCCUUCGGGUUGUAAAGCACUUUUGGCAGGAAAGCGGUACCUGCAGAAUAAGCACCUGCUAACUACGUGCCAGCAGCCGCGGUAAUAC
rnacentral:rRNA from 1 species